GAUGAUGUAAAAUCGCGCGGUGCGUUGAUAUCUCUAUGUAAUCCCGACAUGUGGGCCUUUCUUCCUUAUUUCCUGAUAACCCCCUGCAGAAAUAGAUAAACAACAAAACUCGUGGAAUUCUGUCAGAUCAAACCCUGAUUCUAGGUGUUGUUUGCAUAUUGGUCCUUUCUCUUGUUUAUUUGAUAAUUAAAAUUGAUACUUAAGAACCGUCAACAAAUACCCCCAUACUUAGGCUUUUACUCGUCCUCGAGAAAAGGAUGGUUAAGAAAAAUAUCUGGGGUAAACAUUUAAAACAUUCUCUUUAUAAUUGCAGGGUGUUACAAAAUCCAGUGUGUACCAUAGUCAAGGAUGUUUAUGGUCAAGAGUAAAGAUCCUUUCUUCUCAAUCUUAUCACUUGGAGUUUUUUGUAUAUUUUUGAAAGAAAGUUAGCAUACCUUUUUAUCCUCAUAGGUUCUCUCAGAUCACUCAUUAUCUUUUAUAUAUAUAUCUCACUGAGGUUGUUUUAUUUUGCAAAAAUUCUCAAGCAUACUUACUUUGCAUUUAUUGCCUGAUCAAAACGGGAUCCGAGGAGGGGAAUGUCAUACUCUUAGAUCAAAGACUUUGAAAAUUAAAAACUUUGUCAACUCUUGCUGGCAUAUUGCUUAUUAGAGGGACCAUGGGCUAUCAUUUUUUUUCUCUUUUUUUAAGUGGAUACCGAGGUACCCCUAAUUCUACUGCCGGACACUUGUCCAUUUUUUCUGCGAGGUUAUCGAGCACUUGCUCCUAUUUAUUUCCUCGAAAUAUUUCUAUUUUUGCAUAGCCCAUGCCACUAAUGCAAUAAUACUUCGGAAGAGUGAAUCUUACUGAAAUAAUGUCUUGAUCUUAGGAGCAUGAUAAAUCUCUCAACAAGGGUCUAACUCAUUUUGAACAAACUCAAUACAGAGCAGAUAGCUUUUAUAAUCAUAAUUAAUAUUUUCAGUUUUAUCAGGCAUAUAAAACUGAGGAUGGUAGCUAGAAUUUUGAAUAUUUUGAAAUAAACUCUCCAAGCAACAAUGAUAUCAAGAAUAAGAAACUCAUACUCUACUAUCUUACAUUCCAUACUGUCUUAAGUAACACAGGGUUUAAAAAUGAUUUUAUAAUAAUUGCAAGUUUUCAGGAAACAUCACAGAUUGAGAUUAAUCAUGAUUAGAAAUAUUUUAAUCUUUUUAUUUUAUCAUGUCGGAAACAAUAAUCUGCAUAAUCCAAAAUAAAUGUAUGUGUAAAAUGUGCAGAGUGUGUACCUGAAUCAUGGAGUGGUGUAGUCGGAGUGUGUUUAGCAUGUCGAGGGAUCUCCCCCAUACUUGUUUUCUGCUUUCUUGCACAAAAAUAAAGUAGAGACACACAAGAUAUAAUAAUAAUAAUAAUAAUAAUAAUAAUAAUAAUAAUAAUAAUAAUAAUAAUAAUAAUAAUAAUAAUAAUAAUAAUAAUAAUAAUAAUACUCUUUAUUGAUCUUGAGGCAUUUAGUACAAAAGACUGAU
rnacentral:lncRNA from 1 species